rnacentral:rRNA from 1 species
UACGUAGGGGCUAGCGUUAUCCGGAAUUACUGGGCGUAAAGGGUGCGUAGGCGGUCUUUCAAGCCAGAAGUGAAAGGCUACGGCUCAACCGUAGUAAGCUUUUGGAACUGUAAGACUUGAGUGCAGGAGAGGAGAGUGGAAUUCCUAGUGUAGCGGUGAAAUGCGUAGAUAUAUGGAGGAACACCAGUGGCGAAGGCGACUCUCUGGUCUGUAACUGACGCUGAGGCUCGAAAGCGUGGGGAGCAAACAGGAUUAGAUACCCUGGUAGU